ACCUUUGUCAUCAUCUAUCGGUUAGAAGCAAGUCACAGGUCUUGCCCACACUCAGUGAGAGGGAUUACAUGAAUGUGUGACCACCAGGAGAUGGUAACAAUUGGGGUCAUGAGGGGAUAUGACUGCUACAAUCUCCCAUCAUCAAAAACAAAAACAGGAAUCUGGCUGCUCCUCCUUGCUGUCUUUUGCUCAUGAAGCUGCCUAAAGGGUGACUCAGCACUAUGCAACUUCCAGGUACCAACUAUGAGAUGCCAAAGUCCAUCCAAAGGAUGGACCCAAGGCUACUGGAUCUUAAGGUUUCAGACAAGUGUGUGAGACUUUGUACAUGAAGUUGGAGAAUGCCUCACUCUCUACCCUGUACAGGGUUGUGAUCCAGAGCUGGAUUUCAGACCCCUGUUUCUACAGGAACUCUAAACAAGCCCAGACACUCGGCUGGGAAGUGAGAGACUCAAAACAACGUGAGAAGUAGAAAGCGGCAACCGUCAGCCAACUCAUAGCUGAAGCAGGGACACUGUGCAGCUCUUGGAGCUUGUUCUUAGUAUGUGUUCAGAGGGCUAAUACUCUGUCAAGCAGGGCGGAUGAUAGCCAGAGCAAACAGCCACGGUCCCCACGGUGGAAAAUAACGUUGCCAGAAAAUUCCGCACAUCUGGAAAGAACAGCAAUGAACAGGAACUUGUGCAUUCGUGCUAGGCUCCUACUGGGCCCGCUUCGUUUCAUUUCCUCCAUUUUUAUGACACUUUCCCAUGCUGCUACUCCAGACAUUCCAUCAAACACCUCGCCACGAACAAAUUGAAAGGGAAGGAAAUCUAAAGAAAGUCUGACUGAAUUUCUGAGUGUCUCAUCACUAGAAUGACCAGGAAAACCUGCCAGGAGUGUAGAUUCAGGCCCCUAAUCCCACUUCUCUGCAGUCUCCUCUUGGUCUCUGUGUAUAAGCUCUCCUGCCUUUUUGCACCUCUAAUCCAUUGUCAGACAAACUGGCCUACUUGUGUUUGCCUCUGAGAGCCUGUCCACUUCCUCACGUUAGGAGAAAGAACACAAAGAAUCCUAGCUUUGAUUCAGUUUUCCAUACUUCAGCCAUCAGUCUACCAUCAAGCACAUUUUUUACUGGGCAAAUGAAAAGUCAUUGCUUUCAAUUUUUUUUUUUUUUUUUUAGACUGAAUCUCACCUGUCACCCAGGCUGGAGUGCAGUGGCACAAUCUCGGCUCACUGCAACCUCUGCCUCCCAGGUUCUAGCAAUUCUCCUGCCUCAGCCUCCCAAGUGGCUGGGAUUGCAGGUGCCCACCACCAUGUCCAGCUAAUUUUUUUGUAUUUUGAGUAGAGACGGGGUUUCACCAUGUUGACUAGGCUGGUUUUAAACUCCUGACCUCAAAUGAUCCACCCACCUCAGCCUCCCAAAGUACUAGGAUAAUAGGUGUGAGCCACAGCACCCCGCCAAUAUUUUUGUUUCUAAUAAAACAAGAACUAGUAGUGCACUCCGUCUAGAGCAAGAUAGUGUGGUGGGGACAGGGAGCAAGUAGGUAGGGGAUAAAUAGGUCAAGAACUGAAUUCACAAUUGAGGCUUUAAGCUUGAUAAGAAAUAAAGCAAGUUUGAAUCA
rnacentral:lncRNA from 1 species